CCUACGGGAGGCAGCAGUGGGGAAUAUUGGACAUUGGGGGGAACCCUGAUCCAGCCAUGCCGCGUGUGUGAAGAAGGCCCUCGGGUUGUAAAGCACUUUCAGUGAGGAAGAACGCCUGGUGGUUAAUACCCAUCAGGAAAGACAUCACUCACAGAAGAAGCACCGGCUAACUCCGUGCCAGCAGCCGCGGUAAUACGGAGGGUGCGAGCGUUAAUCGGAAUUACUGGGCGUAAAGCGCGCGUAGGUGGCUUGAUAAGCCGGUUGUGAAAGCCCCGGGCUCAACCUGGGAACGGCAUCCGGAACUGUCAAGCUAGAGUGCAGGAGAGGAAGGUAGAAUUCCCGGUGUAGCGGUGAAAUGCGUAGAGAUCGGGAGGAAUACCAGUGGCGAAGGCGGCCUUCUGGACUGACACUGACACUGAGGUGCGAAAGCGUGGGUAGCAAACAGGAUUAGAUACCCCAGUAGUC
rnacentral:rRNA from 1 species